rnacentral:rRNA from 1 species
AGUAACGCGUGGGCAAACCUGCCCCCAUANAGGGGGACAACAGCGUGGAAACGGCUGCUAAUACCGCAUAACAAGGAGAGAGCGCAUGGUUCUUUUCUUCAAAGAUUUAUCGCUAUGGGAUGGACCCGCGUCUGAUUAGCUGGUUGGUGAGGUAACGGCUCACCAAGGCGACGAUCAGUAGCCGGCUUGAGAGAGUGGACGGCCACAUUGGGACUGAGACACGGCCCAGACUCCUACGGGAGGCAGCAG